UACGUAGGGAGCAAGUGUUGUCCGGAAUCAUUGGGCGUAAAGCGCGCGUAGGUGGCUUCGUAAGUCCGUUGUGAAAGUCAAAGGCUCAACCUUUGAAAGCCGAUGGAUACUGCGGAGCUAGAGUACGGAAGAGGCGAGUGGAAUUCCUGGUGUAGCGGUGGAAUGCGCAGAUAUCAGGAGGAACACCAAUAGCGAAGGCAGCUCGCUGGGACGUUACUGACACUGAGGCGCGAAAGCGUGGGGAGCGAACAGG
rnacentral:rRNA from 1 species